rnacentral:rRNA from 1 species
AUUGAACGCUGGCGGCAGGCCUAACACAUGCAAGUCGAGCGGAUGAAGGGAGCUUGCUCCUGGAUUCAGCGGCGGACGGGUGAGUAAUGCCUAGGAAUCUACCUGGUAGUGGGGGAUAACGUCCGGAAACGGGCGCUAAUACCGCAUACGUCCUGAGGGAGAAAGUGGGGGAUCUUCGGACCUCACGCUAUCAGAUGAGCCUAGGUCGGAUUAGCUAGUUGGUGGGGUAAAGGCCUACCAAGGCGACGAUCCGUAACUGGUCUGAGAGGAUGAUCAGUCACACUGGAACUGAGACACGGUCCAGACUCCUACGGGAGGCAGCAGUGGGGAAUAUUGGACAAUGGGCGAAAGCCUGAUCCAGCCAUGCCGCGUGUGUGAAGAAGGUCUUCGGAUUGUAAGGCACUUUAAGUUGGGAGGAAGGGCAGUAAGUUAAUACCUUGCUGUUUUGACGUUACCAACAGAAUAAGCACCGGCUAACUUCGUG